rnacentral:rRNA from 1 species
UACAGAGGUCUCAACCGUCGUUCGGAUUCAUUGGGCGUAAAGGGUGCGUAGGCGGUCGCGCAAGUCGGAUGUGAAAUCUUGGGGCUCAACCCCGAAACUGCAUUCGAUACUGCGUGGCUCGAGUACUGGAGAGGAGACUGGAAUUUACGGUGUAGCAGUGAAAUGCGUAGAUAUCGUAAGGAAGACCAGUGGCGAAGGCGAGUCUCUGGACAGUUACUGACGCUGAGGCACGAAGGCCAGGGGAGCAAACGGG